GAGAGCCGGAUGAUCGGGAAACCAUCACGUCCGGUUCGGCGGGAGGCCGCGCGGGAAAGGACCUGCCACGGCAGACACCUCGCCGCGCGGCCGACCCAAC
rnacentral:ncRNA from 1 species